rnacentral:lncRNA from 1 species
CAACCCUCCUAACAGCCUCCUUUAUCGGGCUCUCACUGAGCUCUCACACUCCAGGCCACCAUCCCACAGUCUCCAUCACCCCAGGGCCUGCUGAAAUUAUUCAAACUAGCCAAUCCUAAGCCUGCUUACUCAGUCUUGCUUUGCCUUUCCUGUAGAAACCAUGAUAAAGGCCUUUGCCCAGGAGAAAACCCUUCCUCCUAGGAACUGUAAGCAACAAGUCAUCUUUUCAAUGGUGAAUGUCUCAUGAUCUGUUGGCCUCACCAUACCUUAAUAAUAAUAAAACCUGUAUUUUAAACAGACAUUUUAGAUGCAUGAAAAUGUGUCUUGAAAAUUCUAGUGUUAUUAAAUAAUUAUGUAUCAUACUAUACCAAGUUGCAUUUCUCUGACUCCAUACACUUCCCAAGUCCCUAUAUUUUCUCUUACAUAAAAACUCUGCUUUUAAACUCCUGUUAGUCCCAUCUAUUUUACCUGGAUCCUCAAAACUGCUAGCUUAUCAUGAUGAGCCAUCAUAUGUUUAUUUACUCUCACAAACAUUCCUAUCAUUAAUUCUGACAGUGCAUUGACAAAGACAUUGUUGAUGAAAAGAGUCGAAAUCUGUAAAAUAUCUGAAGAGAUUUAUUCUGAGCCAAAUAUAAGUGACCAUGGCCCAUGACAUAGCCCUCAGGAAGUCCGUCCUGAGAACACGUGCCCAAGGUGGUCGGGGCACAGCUUGGUUUUAUAGACGUUAGAGAGGCAUGAGACAUCACUCAAAUACAUUUAAGAAAUGCAUUGGUUUGGCCCAGAAAGGUGGAACAACUCAAAGUCGGGAGGCUUCCAGGCUAUAGGUGAAUUUAAAUAUUUUCUGGUUGACAAUUGGUUGAGUUUGUCUAAAGAUCUGGAUAGACAAAAACGGUUAAGAUAAAGAUUAAGGUAAAAUAAGAUACAGAUUGUGGAGACCAAAGUUCUUUUGAAGUCUUAUAGUGGCUGCCCUUAGAGACAAUAGGUGACAAAAGUUUCCUAUUCAGAUCUUAGUUAAUCUCUUUAGGAUUGGAAGGGUCUGGAAGAAGAAGAUUUAGCUAUGUUAAUAGAGAUUCUUUACAGAAGCAGAUUUUCUCUCAGAAAGAACAGCUUUGCAGGGCCAUUUCAAAAUAUGGCAAAGAAACAUGUUUUGGGGUAAAAUAUUUUGAUUUUCCUUUUUGUCUCAUAAUGUUAUGGCCAGAGUCAGUCUGGAAAGUAAAUCAUGAUAUAUAUGGUUAAAUAAAACCCAUCUGAUGAGAAUUUCUGAUUUAUAGGGCAUGACUCCCCAGACCCCUUAGAUAGGAAUUUGGGCAAGAAAAAAAAAAUCAGAGUUUAGUCCUCAACAUUAACCUAAACCAUUUGGUGAGAACAGAAAGUGAAAGUUUCCCAAAGUUACCAGAGCUGGGUAAUAUUGUGUUUAUCUGAAUACAACAAAAAAUUCCUUUAAAUAGAGAAAGAAAUCGGCUAUAUUAUCUAAUGACAAACUACUUGAGCACUGUUGAAACUAAUUUUUGUCUUUCCUAAAAUGGAGAGACAACACUAAAGGUGAAUCAGUACAAAGGAUCCAGGCAGAAGAUCUUGUGUACAGAAGCAUCUAGGAAGGCCACCAGAAAGAGCAUGUGUUAUAGUACCCACUCUGAAUACUGCUGGGAGACACAAACGUUUUUUUUGCCAUCCAACUCCAGAUUCCAUGCUGAACCACCAUUCUUUGAACAGAGUUCUUCCUUUGCAUAAAAUAUAACAUACUCAGUUAGGAGUGGUUAC